UAAGAUUCUAGUAGCCGCCUCAACAA
rnacentral:piRNA from 1 species